GACGAACGCUGGCGGCGUGUCUAAUACAUGCAAGUCGAACGCAGUGGGGACGGGUGAGUAACACGUGGGUAACCUCCCAUCAGAGGGGAUAACACUUGGAAACAGGUGCUAAACCGCUACUGAUGGAUGGACCCGCGGUGCAUUAGCUAGUUGGUGAGGUAACGGCUCACCAAGGCCACGAUGCAUAGGCGAACUGAGAGGGUGAUCGGACACAAUGGGACUGAGAAACGGCCCAGACUCCUACGGGAGGCAGCAGGAGGGAAGUUUCGGCAAUGGAAGAAAGUUUGAACGAGCAAAGCCGCGGGAGUGAAGAAGGGUUUCGGAUCGUAAAACCCUGUUGUUAGAGAAGCGGUAUCUAACCAGAAAGCCACGGCUAACUACGUGCCAGCAGCCGCGGUAAUUC
rnacentral:rRNA from 1 species